rnacentral:rRNA from 1 species
CGGACGGGUGAGUAACGCGUGGGUAACCUGCCUCAUACAGGGGGAUAACGGUUAGAAAUGACUGCUAAUACCGCAUAAGCGCACAGUACCGCAUGGUACGGUGUGAAAAACUCCGGUGGUAUGAGAUGGACCCGCGUCUGAUUAGCUAGUUGGUGAGGUAACGGCCCACCAAGGCGACGAUCAGUAGCCGACCUGAGAGGGUGACCGGCCACAUUGGGACUGAGACACGGCCCAG